UACGUAGGUGGCAAGCGUUGUCCGGAAUUAUUGGGCGUAAAGCGCGCGCAGGCGGUCCUUUAAGUCUGAUGUGAAAGCCCACGGCUCAACCGUGGAGGGUCAUUGGAAACUGGGGGACUUGAGUGCAGGAGAGAAGAGUGGAAUUCCACGUGUAGCGGUGAAAUGCGUAGAGAUGUGGAGGAACACCAGUGGCGAAGGCGACUCUUUGGCCUGUAACUGACGCUGAGACACGAAAGCGUGGGUAGCAAACAGG
rnacentral:rRNA from 1 species